UUACCCUUCUCUCGAGAAAGGCUAACACUUCUUCGACAACUUCUUGCGGAGACACCCUGUAUUUCUGAUAAGACACGGCAUGAUCUUUGCCUUCAUAGCGUCGUUCAGCCAUUAAGCACCUGCGCUAAGAACGAAGGUAUGAGUGCCAAGGAGGGGACUGAUACGGGGCCACGGAGGAGCGGCAGGCGCAGAGAAGAAGAAGAAGAGGAGAAGGAAGAAGCGGAAGAGAGGUGCGUAUCUCCCACAAGGCCGAGGGAAAUGAGGAGACGGGCGACGACUUCAAAGAAAGGAGCCCUUCAAAGGACAAGUCUCGGCAGCGGCAGGAGCCACUAUGUCCGAUUACAUGGGGAAGGAACGUGAUGAAAUAUGACAUCAGCCAUGUUUGAUUCAUGUGACAGGAGGACUGAGAGAAAAAAGAAAGAGAGAA